GGAGAUGAUGAUGUAGUCCCUAUGUGGGCCGCAGAAAACACUUCGAGCCGUGCUGGAGUCGUGCUGGGUGGCUCUGAUAGCAGAGCUAAUGGGAGCGAAUGGGAUGCAACGAACUGUUCUAAUGACACCAGCCAGGGAAGAGACAACAGAAGAGGUUUUUCCCUGAUGCCAACGGAGUCACACUGCAGAAGAACCACUGCUGAUGGGGUCUGUCCCAGCCUGUGGGAUUGAUUAAUCUUUGCGUGAGAGUGAGGACACCAAGACACAGAGAUGGGAGUGGUCUUACCCAAGGUCACACUGCACAAAUCAUCGUGGCAAGAGUCACUCAUCAGUUCUGUGAGAAGCAGCAGAGGAAAAUGUUGUCCAGCAUCCUGUGUUGGACUACCACCAUGGCACUGUCUUUCAAGUCCAUCCUGUGAUCACCAAAUACUCUUGCCAUCUCUGACAAGCAGAAGAAACAGAGGCUGGUCCAAGCUGACUUCAGGUGCUACAGACACUGAAGUCCUUGCAAAAGGAGAAACUUGAGAUGUCACUGGCUGAAGAUACCCCAGGUUACUGUGAAGUGAUAACAAACUGAGUCACAUGCAUGUUGUGGCUGUUUUUCCUGACCUUGGGGUCACGUGCAAGGAAACAACUGGUGGGAAAGCAAAGUGGAAAAGAAGAAUUAUUUCUCUGGGGCCCUGACAGAAGGAAUAAGAAUGUGGGGGCACCUGGGAUGGCCGCGGAACAAAAAACCUGAAACACCUUUUCACCCAUUUGUUCUGCAUUUUCCACACUGUGGGUCCUGCUCCCCGCUUUCCUCACCCUCCCCCAGCUUGCCUGUGAUUCAGGAAGAAGAGGCCAAGGAGACUAAUAUAGUGCUGAAGACAGGACUGGAAGGGCAGUAAUUUAGACUCAGAGGCUUAUAGUAUUAUUGCCUGCAAAGCCAUUCAUGGGAAAUGAUUCCACCCAUCCCCAUUCCACUCCCCCCCCCAUACCACUCUCCUUGCUCUGCAAUAACAAUAACAGAAAUGCCUUCAGGAGGCUUUUCUACUCAAAAUGCAGGCAAAGGAGCACUUUUCUCCAUCACCCCUCUUCUUUCCCUUCUCUUCUCCCUGCACUCACUUGUCCCC